rnacentral:tRNA from 1 species
GCCGGCGUGGCGGAAUGGUAGACGCGGCGGACUCAAAAUCCGCUAUUCGCGAGGAUGUAGGGGUUCAAGUCCCCUCGCCGGCA